CGAGUGUGAAGCUACUGCGAGAAUUCAGCCGAGAAUUCGCAGUAGCUUC
rnacentral:ncRNA from 1 species